GGCGAACGCUGGCGGCGUGCUUAACACAUGCAAGUCGAACGAUGAAGCCGGAGCUUGCUCUGGUGAAUUAGUGGCGAACGGGUGAGUAACACGUGAGUAACCUGCCCUUGACUCUGGGAUAACUGCGGGAAACUGUAGCUAAUACCGGAUACGACCAUCGGAGGCAUCUCCUGGGGGUGGAAAGAAUUUCGGUCAAGGAUGGACUCGCGGCCUAUCAGCUAGUUGGUGAGGUAAAGGCUCACCAAGGCGACGACGGGUAGCCGGCCUGAGAGGGUGACCGGCAACCGGGGGAAAGAGACACGGCCCGGACUACUAAGGGAGGCAGCAGUGGGGAAUAUUGCACAAUGGGCGCAAGCCUGAUGCAGCAACGCCGCGUGAGGGAUGACGGCCUUCGGGUUGUAAACCUCUUUUAGCAGGGAAGAAGCGAAAGUGACGGUACCUGCAGAAAAAGCACCGGCUAACUACGUGCCAGCCGCCGCAGUAA
rnacentral:rRNA from 1 species